GGUGGCGCAGCUAACGCAUUAAGUUAUCCGCCUGGGGAGUACGGCCGCAAGGUUAAAACUCAAAGGAAUUGACGGGGGCCUGCACAACGGUGGAGCAUGUGGUUUAAUUCGAAGCAACGCGCAGAACCUUACCAGCGUUUGACAUGGUAGGACGACUUCCAGAGAUGGAUUUCUUCCCUUCGGGGACCUACACACAGGUGCUGCAUGGCUGUCGUCAGCUCGUGUCGUGAGAUGUUGGGUUAAGUCCCGCAACGAGCGCAACCCUCGACUUUAGUUACCAUCAUUAAGUUGGGUACUUUAAAGUAACCGCCGGUGAUAAGCCGGAGGAAGGUGGGGAUGACGUCAAGUCCUCAUGGCCCUUACGCGCUGGGCUACACACGUGCUACAAUGGCAAGUACAGUGGGCAGCAAUCCCGCGAGGGUGAGCUAAUCUCCAAAACUUGUCUCAGUUCGGAUUGUUCUCUGCAACUCGAGAGCAUGAAGGCGGAAUCGCUAGUAAU
rnacentral:rRNA from 1 species